UACAGAGGUCCCGAGCGUUGUUCGGAUUCACUGGGCGUAAAGGGUGCGUAGGUGGCUUAGAAAGUUUGAUGUGAAAGCUCAGGGCUUAACCCUGAAAUGGCAUUGAAUACUGCUGAGCUGGAGGUUUGGAGGGGGGACUGGAAUUCUUGGUGUAGCAGUGAAAUGCGUAGAUAUCAAGAGGAACACCAGUGGCGAAGGCGAGUCCCUGGACAACACCUGACACUGAGGCACGAAAGCUAGGGGAGCAAACAGG
rnacentral:rRNA from 1 species